rnacentral:misc_RNA from 1 species
GAACGCACAUUGCGCCCUUUGGCAUUCCGAAGGGCAUGCCCGUUCGAGCGUCAUUACACCCCUCAAGCCUGGCUUGGUAUUGGGCGACGGCAGUCUGCCGCGCCUCGAAGUGAUCGGCUGGACGGUUUGAAUCUCAGCGUUGUGGUUUCAUCAAUUCGCUGGCGAGGAUGACCGGACGCGCCGUUAAACCUCAAUCACAGGUUGACCUCGGAUCGGGUAGGGAUACCCGCUGAACUUAAG